rnacentral:lncRNA from 10 species
AUUUGGUGCUGGAACUUGAAGGUAUCCACAGAAAGGGUACCUGGAAAAUAAGAUGAAUAUGAAAUGGGGAGAGCAAGAAGGAGCUGAAAUGCAUCAGCUGGAGCCCGGGAGAACAGAUAGAAACUCAGACUCUUUCUUGUGUUCUCUCUGCCCUUGAUGGUCUGCAUGUCCUGGAGAAGCCAGGUCUUUCAUCACACACAGCUGGCCCAGCAGUCAGAGAAGCUGAAGGAGGAUUGGGGGGAAGGUGGAGCAGCAGGAGGCCUGGCUGUUCCUCACACCAAGGAGGUGCAUCCGCAGAUGAGGAGUGAAUGCCAAGGGCAUGUGAAUGCCUUGAAGUGGCUAUUUCUUGGAAGCAGAUAUUAUAAGUUCUCAGUGUAUGGUGAGACAGAUCCUGCUUUCAGUUCAUCCUUGGUGAAUGCUAGUCAAAAUUCUAUGUGAUGUCACAACAGAAAUCUUCAGUUAACAGUCGUGGAAAGGACUCAAGCUCUACUCCAUCUCCACCUCCUUGGGUUUGGGUAAAUUCUCAGCAGGAUUGUGCAUUAGAUGGAAAGACCGCCUCUGCAGGCCGCUGGCUGACUUCAAGAUAGUCGUGCUGUAUCAAGUGGUGUGAGAAGGAAAGACCCAUAAGAGACUUUGUCAUCCAAGUUUCAGAUUCCCCUGGAUUCCUUAGCGAUAAGACAUGCAUGGCUCAUUACAUAUUCUAUUUAUGAAAUUUCUACGGGCAAAGACUCGAAUGCCCUUUAACUGGGUGCGCACAUGGGCAUCGCAUAGUUUUCCAGAGUAACCCAAGAUACUGGGGUGGAGAGAAAAAUGGAACCAGAAGACAAGCCAGCUUCUACCAAAGCCACCCAGCAGUCAGCCAGCCCAGACUCUCAAAUCUGGACCUGGGGGUCAGCCCUAGGUAGACAGGCAAGCCAUCUUUCAAAGGCUCCCAUGUCCUCUUAAUAAAGUGAGAGCCAGACAUUAGCAAUCAUUCUCACAAUUUUUAAAAACCAUAUUAUCAGCUGUUAUUUUAAAUAUCCCUAACCUAGUAUAGUUAAUAACAGAAACAGAAAACAUUUAAGAUUUUUAAGAUAUAAGAAUUGAAGAUCUUGAGUCAAGCUUUAAAAUGAAAGUAACUUUGAAAUGAGGUCAAAGUUAGAACAUUCAGCAAGGAAUCUUAAUUAGAAAAGUAUGACUGGGCAAUACUAGAACAAUUCUGAGCAAAUGAUUUUGCCACCAGGAAUGGUAAAUUCAAAGAAGGCAAAUUAGCAGUAAGUUGCAGAGAUGGCCACUUGAAUGAAACACAAACAGGGUUAAUUUUUUUCACUCGGUCAAUUGCAUUUCUCAUACAAAGCUGAAAAAUGCUCUCUUGUAAUUCUCAUUUUAUAAUAGCAAUUCUUUUGUUUUGCAUUGCCUGGCCAUUGCAAUCUGGACAAAGCAACUUUUCCAUCCUAUUUUAGUUCUCAAAGUAUAUUGAUUUUUAAUUUCCUGGAGCCAGUUUUCUACACAACAAUAUUUUAUUCACUAUGAGAAGUAGUGCCAGUUUUAAACAUUUAUAGACUUGUUUCUCCAGGGAAAAACAUAAGCUAGAAAGAAAAACUAAAAUUUCAUUUGAUGAGAUUCAAAUGGCAAUUGGGGGUUUGAAUGUAGAAGUGUUGUUUUCUUAUCCAGAACAGUCACUGGAACUGCAUUAAGGGAAUGCUAUCUGGUCAAUUUUUGUUUACUUUCUGGAGAUACGAUAUUUUCUGAGGAUUCAAAACAAGUGGGAAAUUGCCAAAGUCUUGCAAGCCUGAUUUAAGAGACAGAAAAGAAGAGACAACAUAUAAAGUUUUCUCUUCGUGCAUAUGAACACACAUAUAUCUUUAAGUUAAUACAUUAAUGGAUCAUAUUAUAACAUUUCUUUUCAAAAAUUUUCUUUUUGUUCUUUGCUCUUCUUCUUCUCUUUCCUUUCCCAAACUUUCUCUCUGCCUUCUGCACAGGUAACUCAUGAUAACAGUAUGUGGCCUAUAAUUUUCAGCUCACUCGCGCUUACCUGCAUGUAUGUGCACAGAUGUUAGAGAGUGCUUUUCUUCAUUUUUGUUAGAAAUGGGAUAAUAAAACAGACUUUUUUUUUCU